rnacentral:rRNA from 1 species
GACGAACGCUGGCGGCGUGCUUAACACAUGCAAGUCGAACGGAAAGGCCCUGCUUUUGUGGGGUGCUCGAGUGGCGAACGGGUGAGUAACACGUGAGUAACCUGCCCUUGACCUUGGGAUAACUUCAGGAAACUGGGGCUAAUACCGGAUAGGAGCUCCUGCUGCAUGGUGGGGGUUGGAAAGUUUCGGAGGUUGGGGAUGGACUCGCGGCUUAUCAGCUUGUUGGUGGGGUAGUGGCUUACCAAGGCUUUGACGGGUAGCCGGCCUGAGAGGGUGACCGGCCACAUUGGGACUGAGAUACGGCCCAGACUCCUACGGGAGGCAGCAGUGGGGAAUAUUGCACAAUGGGCGGAAGCCUGAUGCAGCAACGCCGCGUGCGGGAUGACGGCCUUCGGGUUGUAAACCGCUUUCGCCUGUGACGAAGCGUGAGUGACGGUAAUGGGUAAAGAAGCACCGGCUAACUACGUG